rnacentral:rRNA from 1 species
GCAGGCGGCGGGCCGAGAGGCGGUGUAAGAGGGAGGGGGCGGGGUGUGUACGGAAUGAGGGGGAGUAAAGGGGGGGUAGGCGGGGCGGAAAGGCGGCGGUGAAAGGUCAGGGGUCAACGCUGAGUCGGCAGGUGAUACUCUAGCGCUCGAGCGCACUAGAGGCAGAUGGAAGUCCGGGGGGAGCGGGGGAAUGCGUAGAGAUCCGGAAGAACACCGGUGGCGAAGGCGGUCUGCUGGGGUGAGGCUGACGCUGAUGCGCGACAGCGUGGGGAGCAAACAGGAUUAGAUGCCCGGGUAGUC